rnacentral:lncRNA from 1 species
GCUUCAUGAUUUCUUUCCUAACGUCUUCUGAUUCGACUUUGAGACAACCCAGCACUCUGGAAUCUUUGCUGCAACUUCUCCAAUGGACAGAUGUUCCUUUCCAUCCUCUUAACAAGGUUUCUACCCAAACAUAUCGGAAUAAGUGGUUGCAGGCAAGCAAAGCAUAUGAUGGUGCCCCUGUGGUUUUCAGAUGGCUCAGCAGAUGUAUUUGGUUCAAGAUUGGAGGGGGAGUGGCAGACAUACAGUUUGGCCAGUGAGGUGAGUGGCUGUAGCAGACUGCAUGAUGGGCCUCCAUUUUCAAGAGGAGACACAUUCUCAUUGAUACAU